CCAUUUCUGUCUAGCUGGUGCGCACACUGCGGACACAGCCCGGCGCAUCAUACCUGCCUGGUGCCAAGUCAAGUGUGGGCAAGUACAUCAGUGCAUCAUGCACCGGCUGUGGUGCCUGUGCAAACUGCAGAUCUCGAUGAAGGAUGACAUGCCAGCAGCCCGCCCAUCACCUGACCGCUGAAUUUGGAGGGAGUACGACAACAAGGCGUUCUACUGCGAUCAAGUGCAAGAGAAAGUGAAACCUUCGGUUGGCACACUUAUAGA